UACGGGGGGGGGCAAGCGUUGUUCGGAAUUACUGGGCGUAAAGGGCUCGUAGGCGGCCAACUAAGUCGGAUGUGAAAUCCCCAGGCUUAACCUGGGAACUGCAUCCGAUACUGGAUGGCUUGAGGUUGGGAGAGGGAUGCGGAAUUCCAGGUGUAGCGGUGAAAUGCGUAGAUAUCUGGAGGAACACCGGUGGCGAAGGCGGCAUCCUGGACCAAUUCUGACGCUGAGGAGCGAAAGCCAGGGGAGCAAACGGGG
rnacentral:rRNA from 1 species